CGAAAUGCGAUAAGUAGUGUGAAUUGCAGAAUUCAGUGAAUCAUCGAAUCUUUGAACGCACAUUGCGCCCCUUGGUAUUCCAUGGGGCAUGCCUGUUCGAGCGUCAUUUGUACCCUCAAGCUCUGCUUGGUGUUGGGUGUUUGUCCCCGUCUCCGCGCGUGGACUCGCCCCAAAGUGAUUGGCAGCCGGCGUACUGGUCCCGGAGCGCAGCACAUGUCGCGCAAACGAGUGCCUUGGUACGGCGGCGUCCAUAAGCCCCUCUCUCACGCUCUUGACCUCGGAUCAGGUAGGGAUACCCGCUGAACUGAAGC
rnacentral:misc_RNA from 1 species